rnacentral:rRNA from 1 species
UACAGAGGUCCCAAGCGUUUGUUCGGAUUCAUUGGGCGUAAAGGGUGCGUAGGUGGCGCCGUAAGUCAGGUGUGAAAUCUCGGGGCUUAACUCCGAAACUGCAUUUGAUACUGCGGUGCUUGAGGACUGGAGAGGAGACUGGAAUUUACGGUGUAGCAGUGAAAUGCGUAGAGAUCGUAAGGAAGACCAGUGGCGAAGGCGGGUCUCUGGACAGUUCCUGACACUGAGGCACGAAGGCCAGGGGAGCAAACGGG